CUCGCGCAAAGGAAGCUAUAAAAGGAGCUGCGGGGACCGCGGCUCUUUCUUUUACGUCGGGACGUAAGGCUUUUCUUUGUCUUGUAGGGACAAUGGUGCCAUUGUUCUUACCGUCUUCAAAGCAGUCUCAAGAAACCGAGAUGGAGAGGAACCCAAAGCAUCUAAGAGAAUUCAUAAAAGAGAGAAACUUGCUUAAAACGUGACCCUUUUAAAAGCAGGGAAUGCCGACCCCUGGGGAUACCCGUGACCUGUAAAGAACCUAUGCAGGAGUGCAUGACCAGUGACACACGGCUUGAGAAUGAAAACUAGAUGUGGUAAACAUCCAGAAAAGGCAGACGAGAAGAAAAUGCAAACACAGUAUUAGUCCUGGGAUGUUUGAGAUAGGUUCUCCAUGGCCCUGACUGGCCAUCCCUGUUGAUUUGUCUAGUGAUCGGGACAGCAUCUGGUAUGGCCUGCAGAGUUCAUUUUUGGUCAUUUUUUUGUGGCUGUAUGUAAAAAUGGAUUGUUUUGCCAAUCCAUUGACAGUGUUUUAUUCUCUGAAGGUUGUGGUGAGCUGACACAGCUGUGUAGACUGAGCAGUCAAUGCAAUUAUGAGUGUAAAGUUGCCUUUGUGAUUGUAAAAUUGGUCAUGAGCAAUUUCCUUAUACAUCUGGCAGUGGUUGCUUGGGAGUGCUGCAAUAAAUAAUCCAGUUGCAAAUACA